rnacentral:rRNA from 1 species
GACGAACGCUGGCGGCGUGCUUAACACAUGCAAGUCGUACGGUAAGGCCCUUUCGGGGGUACACGAGUGGCGCACGGGUGCGUAACACGUGAGUAACCUGCCCACAACUUUGGGAUAACGCUAGGAAACUGGUGCUAAUACUGGAUAUGUGCUCCUGCUGCAUGGUGGGGGUUGGAAAGCUCCGGCGGUUGUGGAUGGACUCGCGGCCUAUCAGCUUGUUCGUGGGGUAGUGGCCUACCAAGGCGGCGACGGGUAGCCGGCCUGAGAGGGUGACCGGCCACAUUGAGACUGAGAUAAGGCCCAGACUCCUACGGGAGGCAGCAGUGGGGAAAAAUGCACAAUGGGCGCCAGCCGGAUGCAGCAACGCCGCGUGCGGGAUAACGGCCUUCGGGUUGAAAACCGCCUUCAGCAGGAACGAAGCUUUUUGUGACGGUACCUGCAGAAGAAGCACCGGCUAACUACGUG